rnacentral:rRNA from 1 species
UACGUAGGGGGCAAGCGUUGUCCGGAAUCAUUGGGCGUAAAGAGCGUGUAGGCGGCUUGGCAAGUCUCGCGUGAAAUCCUGCGGCUCAACCGCAGGCGGUCGCGGGAAACUGCCUCGCUAGAGUCCGGAAGAGGAGAGUGGAAUUCCUGGUGUAGCGGUGAAAUGCGCAGAUAUCAGGAAGAACACCCGUGGCUAAGGCGGCUCUCUAGUACGGUACUGACGCUGAGACGCGAAAGCGUGGGGAGCGAACAGG